GCUGGGCGUGGUGGCACAUGCCUGUAAUCCCAGCUACUUGGGAGGCUGAGGCAGGUGAAUCGCCUGAACCCAGGAGGUGGAGGGUGCAGUGAGCCGAGAUUGUGCCACUGCCCUCCAGCCUGGGCAACAGAGUGAGACUCUGUCUCAA
rnacentral:SRP_RNA from 1 species